UACGUAGGGACCAAGCGUUGUUCGGAUUUACUGGGCGUAAAGGGCGCGUAGGCGGCGCGGUAAGUCACUUGUGAAAUCUCUGAGCUUAACUCAGAACGGCCAAGUGAUACUGCAGUGCUAGAGUGUGGAAGGGGCAAUCGGAAUUCUUGGUGUAGCGGUGAAAUGCGUAGAUAUCAAGAGGAACACCUGAGGUGAAGACGGGUUGCUGGGCCAACACUGACGCUGGAUGCGCGAAAGCCAGGGGAGCAAACGGG
rnacentral:rRNA from 1 species